rnacentral:tRNA from 1 species
AGGCGGGUAGCUCAGCGGUUAGAGCACCGGCCUUACAAGCCGGGGGUCCGCGGUUCAAAUCCGCGUCCGCCUACCA